rnacentral:rRNA from 1 species
GAUGAACGCUGGCGGCGUGCUUAACACAUGCAAGUCGAACGGUGAAGCCAAGCUUGCUUGGUGGAUCAGUGGCGAACGGGUGAGUAACACGUGAGCAACCUGCCCUGGACUCUGGGAUAAGCGCUGGAAACGGUGUCUAAUACUGGAUAUGAGCUCCUUCCGCAUGGUGGGGGUUGGAAAGAUUUUUCGGUCUGGGAUGGGCUCGCGGCCUAUCAGCUUGGUGGUGAGGUAAUGGCUCACCAAGGCGUCGACGGGUAGCCGGCCUGAGAGGGUGACCGGCCACACUGGGACUGAGACACGGCCCAGACUCCUACGGGAGGCAGCAGUGGGGAAUAUUGCACAAUGGGCGGAAGCCUGAUGCAGCAACGCCGCGUGAGGGAUGACGGCCUUCGGGUUGUAAACCUCUUUUAGCAGGGAAGAAGCUUUUGUGACGGUACCUGCAAAAAAAGCGCCGGCUAACUACGUGCCAGCCGCCGCAGUAA